rnacentral:rRNA from 1 species
GACGAACGCUGGCGGCGUGCUUAACACAUGCAAGUCGAACGGAAAGGCCCUGCUUUUGUGGGGUGCUCGAGUGGCGAACGGGUGAGUAACACGUGAGUAACCUGCCCUUGACUUUGGGAUAACUUCAGGAAACUGGGGCUAAUACCGGAUAGGAGCUCCUGCUGCAUGGUGGGGGUUGGAAAGUUUCGGCGGUUGGGGAUGGACUCGCGGCUUAUCAGCUUGUUGGUGGGGUAGUGGCUUACCAAGGCUUUGACGGGUAGCCGGCCUGAGAGGGUGACCGGCCACAUUGGGACUGAGAUACGGCCCAGACUCCUACGGGAGGCAGCAGUGGGGAAUAUUGCACAAUGGGCGGAAGCCUGAUGCAGCAACGCCGCGUGCGGGAUGACGGCCUUCGGGUUGUAAACCGCUUUCGCCUGAGACGAAGCGUGAGUGACGGUAAUGGGUAAAGAGGCACCGGCUAACUACGUG